GGUGAGGUGUCCGAGUGGCCGAAGGAGCACGCCUGGAAAGUGUGUAAGCCGUAAGGCUUCGAGAGUUCGAAUCUCUCCCUCACCGCCA
rnacentral:tRNA from 2 species